UACGAAGGGUGCAAGCGUUACUCGGAAUUACUGGGCGUAAAGCGUGCGUAGGUGGUUCGUUAAGUCUGAUGUGAAAGCCCUGGGCUCAACCUGGGAAUGGCAUUGGAUACUGGCGAUCUAGAGUGCGGUAGAGGGCGGUGGAAUUCCCGGUGUAGCAGUGAAAUGCGUAGAGAUCGGGAGGAACAUCUGUGGCGAAGGCGACUGCCUGGACCAGCACUGACACUGAGGCACGAAAGCGUGGGGAGCAAACAGG
rnacentral:rRNA from 1 species